UGAGGGAAAAUCUGACUGGCUAUUACUUUCUAAACAGAGGCCGCUCAACACUUCAUCCUGGACUUGAGAACCAUCCUUUUGCAGUUUAGAUACAGAAGCUGCUCAAUACUUCAUCUUGGACUUGAGGAAACCCUCAAUCCCUCAAAAAUGGAGCUCCACUCCUUUAAGACUACAGAUUGCCAGGGGAGCUGAGAGGAGAGGUCAGGUGCCCAAAGACUUGACCAGGUCAAGACCGACCACCCGCCGGCCGUUCCACGGGACGCAGACUGCUCGGAGUCACCACUGCCACGGGGACCUUCACGGUGCAGCGUGUAUCUCCUUCGCCUCUGAUGUCUCCCUCGUCUCUGCAGUCUCCUAUACCUCAAUAUACCUAAAACAGAACUCUCUAUCUUUUCACCCAAA